UACGUAGGUCCCGAGCGUUGUCCGGAUUUAUUGGGCGUAAAGCGAGCGCAGGUGGUUUAAUAAGUCUGAUGUAAAAGGCAGUGGCUCAACCAUUGUGUGCAUUGGAAACUGUUAGACUUGAGUGCAGUAGAGGAGAGUGGAAUUCCAUGUGUAGCGGUGAAAUGCGUAGAUAUAUGGAGGAACACCGGUGGCGAAAGCGGCUCUCUGGACUGUUACUGACGCUGAGGCGCGAAAGCGUGGGGAGCAAACAGG
rnacentral:rRNA from 1 species